CUGUGAGCAGGAAAGCAGGGGAUCGCAAGACCUUGCGCUCUGGGAGCGGCCGAUGUCGGAUUAGCUAGUUGGUGGGGUAAAGGCCUACCAAGGCGACGAUCCGUAGCGGGUCUGAGAGGAUGAUCCGCCACACUGGGACUGAGACACGGCCCAGACUCCUACGGGAGGCAGCAGUGGGGAAUUUUGGACAAUGGGCGCAAGCCUGAUCCAGCCAUGCCGCGUGAGUGAAGAAGGCCUUCGGUUGUAAAGCUCUUUCGGCGGGGAAGAAAUUGCACGGGUUAAUACCCUGUGUAGAUGACGGUACCCGAAUAAGAAGCACCGGCUGACUACGUGCCAGCAGCCGCGGUAAUACGUAGGGUGCGAGCGUUAAUCGGAAUUACUGGGCGUAAAGCGUGCGCAGGCGGUUUGGUAAGUCAGAUGUGAAAUCCCCGGGCUCAACCUGGGAACUGCAUUUGAGACUGCCAGGCUGGAGUUUGGCAGAGGGGGGUGGAAUUCCACGUGUAGCAGUGAAAUGCGUAGAGAUGUGGAGGAACACCGAUGGCGAAGGCAGCCCCCUGGGCCAAUACUGACGCUCAUGCACGAAAGCGUGGGGAGCAAACAGGAUUAGAUACCCUGGUAGUCCACGCCCUAAACGAUGUCAACUAGGUGUUGGGAGGGUUAAACCUUUUAGUGCCGUAGCUAACGCGUGAAGUUGACCGCCUGGGGAGUACGGCCGCAAGGCUAAAACUCAAAGGAAUUGACGGGGACCCGCACAGGCGGUGGAUGAUGUGGAUUAAUUCGAUGCAACGCGAAAAACCUUACCUACCCUUGACAUGUCAGGAAUCCUGAAGAGAUUUGGGAGUGCUCGCAAGAGAGCCUGAACACAGGUGCUGCAUGGCUGUCGUCAGCUCGUGUCGUGAGAUGCUGGGUUAAGUCCCGCAACGAGCGCAACCCUUGUCAUUAAUUGCCAUCAUUCAGUUGGGCACUUUAAUGAGACUGCCGGUGACAAACCGGAGGAAGGUGGGGAUGACGUCAAGUCCUCAUGGCUCUUAUGGGUAGGGCUUCACACGUCAUACAAUGGUCGGUCCAGAGGGUUGCCAACCCGCGAGGGGGAGCCAAUCUCAGAAAGCCGAUCGUAGUCCGGAUCGCAGUCUGCAACUCGACUGCGUGAAGUCGGAAUCGCUAGUAAUCGCGGAUCAGCAUGUCGCGGUGAAUACGUUCCCGGGUCUUGUACACACCGCCCGUCACACCAUGGGAGCGGGUUCUGCCAGAAGUAGUUAGCCUAACCGCAAGGAGGGCGAUUACCACGGCAGGGGUC
rnacentral:rRNA from 1 species